GUAGGUGGCAAGCGUUGUCCGGAUUUAUUGGGCGUAAAGCGAGCGCAGGCGGUUCCUUAAGUCUGAUGUGAAAGCCCACGGCUCAACCGUGGAAGGUCAUUGGAAACUGGGGAACUUGAGUGCAGAAGAGGAGAGUGGAAUUCCAUGUGUAGCGGUGAAAUGCGUAGAUAUAUGGAGGAACACCAGUGGCGAAGGCGACUCUCUGGUCUGUAACUGACGCUGAGGCUCGAAAGCGUGGGGAGCAAACAGGAUUAGAUACCCUGGUAGUCCACGCCGUAAACGAUGAGUGCUAAGUGUUGGAGGGUUUCCACCCUUCAGUGCUGCAGCUAACGCAUUAAGCACUCCGCCUGGGGAGUACGGCCGCAAGGCUG
rnacentral:rRNA from 1 species